rnacentral:misc_RNA from 1 species
GAUGAAGAACGUAGCGAAAUGCGAUAAGUAAUGUGAAUUGCAGAAUUCAGUGAAUCAUCGAAUCUUUGAACGCACAUUGCGCCCGCCAGUAUUCUGGCGGGCAUGCCUGUUCGAGCGUCAUUUCAACCAUCAAGCCCCGGGCUUGUGUUGGGGACCUGCGGCUGCCGCAGGCCCUGAAAUGCAGUGGCGGGCUCGCUGUCACUCCGAGCGUAGUAGUUACAUCUCGCUCUGGGCGUGCUGUGGGUUCCGGCCGUUAAAAGCCUUAUUUACCCAAGGUUGACCUCGGAUCAGGUAGGAAGACCCGCUGAACUUAAGCAUAUCAAUAAGCGGAGGA